rnacentral:rRNA from 1 species
AUGGUCAAAGAAUACAAAUAUUUUGCAAGUAGAAAAAGCAUACAAAUAUUAAUUCUCAGUAAAAAGAUGAAGUGUUCAGAUAUAUCAAUUCUUUCACUUCACUUUUCAUGCUGUUAUGAACUAUAUUUUUUGCGUAAUUGUUAUAUCAGAAUCGAAUUGACCCAUCCAAUGCUCGACUGUAUCUUAGCAUGCUUAUCGAGUACAUUCCUUAUGUCAUUUUUACAGAUAAAUUCAUUUGUUUCAAGUAUCGCUUUUUUGCCAUAUCAACAUGAAGAGUUGUCAUAUAUUGGCCUGUUAAAUUUAUCGAGUACCAAGUUCACUUCCAUAUUCUUAAUUCUGUUCUAA